rnacentral:rRNA from 1 species
GUGCCAGCCGCCGCAGUAAUACCGGCAGCCCGAGUGAUGGCCGAUCUUAUUGGGCCUAAAGCGUCCGUAGCUGGCCGCGCAAGUCCAUCGGAAAAUCCACCCGCCCAACGGGUGGGCGUCCGGUGGAAACUGCGUGGCUUGGGACCGGAAGGCGCGACGGGUACGUCCGGGGUAGGAGUGAAAUCCUGUAAUCCUGGACGGACCACCAAUGGGGAAACCACGUUGAGAGACCGGACCCGACAGUGAGGGACGAAAGCUAAGAUCGCGAACCGGAUUAGAUACCCGGGUAGUCC